UUAAGUUAAUAAGGGCGCACGGUGGAUGCCUUGGCACUAGGAGCCGACGAAGGACGUGACAAACGACGAUAUGCCUUGGGUAGCUGUAAGUAAGCGAUGAUCCAGGGAUUUCCGAAUGGGGGAACCCAACAGGUAAUACCUGUUACCUACAUCUGUUAAGGAUGUGAGGAGGAAGACGCAGUGAACUGAAACAUCUAAGUAGCUGCAGGAAGAGAAAGCAAAAGCGAUUGCCUUAGUAGCGGCGAGCGAAACGGCAGAAGGGCAAACCGAAGAGUUUACUCUUCGGGGUUGUAGGACUGCAAUGUGGACUCAAAGAUUAUAGAAGAAUGAUUUGGGAAGAUCAGCCAAAGAGAGUAAUAGCCUCGUAUUUAAAAUAGUCUUUGUACCUAGCAGUAUCCUGAGUACGGCGGGACACGUGAAAUCCCGUCGGAAUCUGGGAGGACCAUCUCCCAACCCUAAAUACUCCCUAGUGACCGAUAGUGAACCAGUACCGUGAGGGAAAGGUGAAAAGCACCCCGGGAGGGGAGUGAAAUAGAACCUGAAACCGUGUGCCUACAACAAGUUCGAGCCCGUUAAUGGGUGAGAGCGUGCCUUUUGUAGAAUGAACCGGCGAGUUACGUUAUGAUGCGAGGUUAAGUUGAAGAGACGGAGCCGUAGGGAAACCGAGUCUGAACAGGGCGAAUUAGUAUCAUGACGUAGACCCGAAACCAUGUGACCUACCCAUGAGCAGGUUGAAGGUGCGGUAAGACGCACUGGAGGACCGAACCAGGGCACGUUGAAAAGUGCUUGGAUGACUUGUGGGUAGCGGAGAAAUUCCAAACGAACUUGGAGAUAGCUGGUUCUCUCCGAAAUAGCUUUAGGGCUAGCGUCGACAUUAGAGAUUCUUGGAGGUAGAGCACUGUUUGGGUGAGGGGUCCAUCCCGGAUUACCAAUCUCAGAUAAACUCCGAAUGCCAAUGAAUUAUGGUCGGCAGUCAGACUGCGAGUGCUAAGAUCCGUAGUCGAAAGGGAAACAGCCCAGACCACCAGCUAAGGUCCCAAAAUAAUUGUUAAGUGGAAAAGGAUGUGGGGUUGCACAGACAACUAGGAUGUUAGCUUAGAAGCAGCUAUUCAUUCAAAGAGUGCGUAAUAGCUCACUAGUCGAGUGACCCUGCGCCGAAAAUGUACCGGGGCUAAAACAAUUUACCGAAGCUGUGGAUACCUUUAUAGGUAUGGUAGGAGAGCGUUCUAUGUGUGAAGAAGGUGUACCGUGAGGAGUGCUGGAACGCAUAGAAGUGAGAAUGCCGGUAUGAGUAGCGAAAGACAGGUGAGAAUCCUGUCCACCGUAAGACUAAGGUUUCCAGGGGAAGGCUCGUCCGCCCUGGGUUAGUCGGGACCUAAGGAGAGACCGAAAGGUGUAUCCGAUGGACAACAGGUUGAUAUUCCUGUACUAGAGUAUGUAGUGAUGGAGGGACGCAGUAGGCUAACUAAAGCAGACGAUUGGAAGAGUCUGUCUAAGCAGUGAGGUGUGAAUUGAGUCAAAUGCUUAAUUCUAUAACAUUGAGCUGUGAUGGGGAGCGAAGUUUAGUAGCGAAGUUAGUGACGUCACACUGCCAAGAAAAGCUUCUAGCGUUUAAACAUACUCUACCCGUACCGCAAACCGACACAGGUAGUCGAGGCGAGUAGCCUCAGGUGAGCGAGAGAACUCUCGUUAAGGAACUCGGCAAAAUGACCCCGUAACUUCGGGAGAAGGGGUGCUGACUUAAAGUCAGCCGCAGUGAAUAGGCCCAAGCAACUGUUUAUCAAAAACACAGCUCUCUGCUAAAUCGUAAGAUGAUGUAUAGGGGGUGACGCCUGCCCGGUGCUGGAAGGUUAAGAGGAGUGCUUAGCGUAAGCGAAGGUAUGAAUUGAAGCCCCAGUAAACGGCGGCCGUAACUAUAACGGUCCUAAGGUAGCGAAAUUCCUUGUCGGGUAAGUUCCGACCCGCACGAAAGGCGUAAUGAUUUGGGCACUGUCUCAACGAGAGACUCGGUGAAAUUUUAGUACCUGUGAAGAUGCAGGUUACCCGCGACAGGACGGAAAGACCCCAUGGAGCUUUACUGCAGUUUGAUAUUGAGUGUCUGUACCACAUGUACAGGAUAGGUAGGAGUCUAAGAGAUCGGGACGCCAGUUUCGAAGGAGACGCUGUUGGGAUACUACCCUUGUGUUAUGGCCACUCUAACCCAGAUAGGUGAUCCCUAUCGGAGACAGUGUCUGACGGGCAGUUUGACUGGGGCGGUCGCCUCCUAAAAGGUAACGGAGGCGCCCAAAGGUUCCCUCAGAAUGGUUGGAAAUCAUUCGCAGAGUGUAAAGGUAUAAGGGAGCUUGACUGCGAGAGCUACAACUCGAGCAGGGACGAAAGUCGGGCUUAGUGAUCCGGUGGUUCCGUAUGGAAGGGCCAUCGCUCAACGGAUAAAAGCUACCCUGGGGAUAACAGGCUUAUCUCCCCCAAGAGUUCACAUCGACGGGGAGGUUUGGCACCUCGAUGUCGGCUCGUCGCAUCCUGGGGCUGUAGUCGGUCCCAAGGGUUGGGCUGUUCGCCCAUUAAAGCGGCACGCGAGCUGGGUUCAGAACGUCGUGAGACAGUUCGGUCCCUAUCCGUCGCGGGCGUAGGAAAUUUGAGAGGAUCUGCUCCUAGUACGAGAGGACCAGAGUGGACUUACCGCUGGUGUACCAGUUGUCUUGCCAAAGGCAUCGCUGGGUAGCUAUGUAGGGAAGGGAUAAACGCUGAAAGCAUCUAAGUGUGAAACCCACCUCAAGAUGAGAUUUCCCAUGAUUAUAUAUCAGUAAGAGCCCUGAGAGAUGAUCAGGUAGAUAGGUUAGAAGUGGAAGUGUGGCGACACAUGUAGCGGACUAAUACUAAUAGCUCGAGGACUUAUCCAA
rnacentral:rRNA from 1 species